UACAGAGGGGGCGAGCGUUGUCCGAAGUUACUGGGCGUAAAGCGCACGUAGGCGGCUUUGUAAGUUAGAGGUGAAAGCCCGGAGCUCAACUCCGGAAUUGCCUUUAAGACUGCAUCGCUUGAAUCCAGGAGAGGUGAGUGGAAUUCCAAGUGUAGAGGUGAAAUUCGUAGAUAUUCGGAAGAACACCAGUGGCGAAGGCGGCUCACUGGACUGGUAUUGACGCUGAGGUGCGAAAGCGUGGGGAGCAAACAGG
rnacentral:rRNA from 1 species